CCAAACUAACAAAAAUCAUAUGAUUAUCUCAAUAGAUGCAGAAAAAGCUUUUGGCAAGAUCACUCCAGAUGGCGACUAUAGCUAUGAAAUUAAAAGAUGCUGCUCUGUGGAAGGAAAACUAUGGCAAAUCCAGAUAGCAUACUAAAAAAGCAGAGAUAUCAUCUUGUCGACAAAGUACUAUAUAAUCAAAGCUAUGGUUUCCAGUAGCAAUGUAUAGCUGUAAAGAAGAGCUGGAUGCUGCAGAACUGAUGCUUUUGAAUUGUGGUGCUAGAGAAGGAAGACAUUUAAGAGUUCUGUGGCAACAUGGAGACCAAAUCAGUUGAUAUUUAAAUCAAUUAAGGCUAUUCACUGAAAGAUCAGAUAUACUAAAGCUUAAGUAUUUUGGCCACAUAAGACCGAUUUCUUUGGAAAGGAUCCUGAUGUUGGGAAAGAUUAAAAGCAAAAAUGAAAAAGGGGACUGCAAAGGAUAAGAUGGACAGAUGUCAUGGAAACAAAGAACAUGCACGUGGAUAGACUUGGAGAGAUACUGGCAGAUGGAAAAGUAUGGUGUGCUUUAGCCCAGCGGUCAUGAAGAGCAAGACACAACUACAUGAACAACAAAUGGAAGAUAACUAGGAAGCAAAAGGUAAAACAGACCAAGCUCACAGUACCAAAUUCCUAACUUCUGUCUCCACCUGCUGGAAGAUGGGAAGCAUAAGCUGAGUGUUCCUUUGUCAAACACUGAUCAUAUUGCAUGAGUUGAUUCGCUUCAUUGAUUCUGAAAAGCUAAUAGCAAACAAGAAAAGAAAAUGAAACCUU